GACGAACGCUGGCGGCGUGCUUAACACAUGCAAGUCGAGCGGUAAGGCCCUUUCGGGGGUACACGAGCGGCGAACGGGUGAGUAACACGUGGGUGACCUGCCCUUAGCUCUGGGAUAAGCCUGGGAAACUGGGUCUAAUACCGGAUAUGACUCCAUGACGCAUGUUGUGGGGUGGAAAGCCUUGUGCGGCUAGGGAUGGGCCCGCGGCCUAUCAGCUUGUUGGUGGGGUGAUGGCCUACCAAGGCGACGACGGGUAGCCGGCCUGAGAGGGGCGACCGGCCACACUGGGACUGAGACACGGCCCAGACUCCUACGGGAGGCAGCAGUGAGGAAUAUUCCACAAUGGGCGAAAGCCUGAUGGAGCGACGCCGCGUGGGGAAGAAGCCUUUCGGGUGU
rnacentral:rRNA from 1 species